CACCCACUAUGUGUAAGACAUCGAGGGACGUGGCAACAAAAGGAAGAAAGUGCGGAGAAGCCCAUAGUCGAGUGAGAACGCAUGACUCUGAUGACUCUCUCGUGAAAACUAGAUUUGAAAAGCACCACCAUGAAGACCCCUGGGACUGUGGGGCACCAGGAGAGAGGUGUUCACACCUUCCACCCCAGCUAGAGAUGAAAGGAGGACACUCACCAUUCAGUACUCACCCAGGCCAUCCAUCGACAGAAACGUCAGACAGCGCAUCCACGCCUGAUCACCUCUCUCAGCUGCUGGGGGAGCCCACACAAGCAGGCGCAUCGAUGAGCUCCCGGCCUGCCAACUCUGGGCCUGCCUCAGACUGAUGCAGCUGGGUGGUAGCUUCUCUGGACUUCGCUUGAAAGGCGUAGCCUGGACCUUGCCGGGAGCCAUGGGUGCAGAGCACCCACCUCUGGCCUCUAUCUUGAAACACUGGACUGUGGAUCUGAUGCUGGGAGUUCAGACUGGAAAAGGAGAAACAUAGGAACCAGCAGGCGAUAUAAGGCCAGCGGGGAUGGUCUGGGAGCAGUAACGGCGAAGAUCACGGAGGCCCACCGUCCUGCACUCCAAAUCCCUGGCUACAUAGGUUCAGAACUCAGAAUUUCCCCAGUUGUAGGAGGAAAGGAUUACACGUAGACCACAUAUCUCCUAACACCCCCAGUGAAGUGUGGGGCAGCCCCUGUAAUCAGACGUGUUACCAGGUCUGCGGCAAAGCCUACGAACAAAGACACAAAUCCUCUCUGAAGCUCAGUUUUCUCGUCUCUAACGUGGAGCAAUGGCUGUACCAGGCUCACAGGGUUGCCCUGAGAAUUUGAUGCUUCCCGUGAUACCGGCCAGCCCGCAGGAGACACAGGUUCUUGGCCUGCCCCGAGCCCUCUGGGGCACGUGCUGCUCCUUUCCGGAAUAUUCAUCCCUAGACGUCUCAGGAGAUAGCUCUCUCACUUCCUUCAGGACCCGCCCCAGCAGGACUUGCCCUGUCUAUCCCCGUCUCCUCCCGCCCCUGUUCUCCUUUGUCUUCCUUCCCAACCUCUAUCAUUUGAAGUAUCACUUAAAUCAAUUACUCCCUUGUUAAUUGCCUGCCCUCCUGCAGUAGAUUCCAAGCUCCGUGUAGUCAGGACUCUGUGGUGUCGCCCACUUUGCCCCAGAACUUAGGAAAGAGCUGGCACAGACGGGCGCUCUGACUUCUGUUGAAUGGGCGACAGUCUGUUAAAUGUGCCUUGUGCAUCGAAAAGGCUCAGUGAGGCCCAGCCCUGCACCAUCAGCCUUGUUAUUAUUGAUGCUGCUGUUAUUAUUUACUUUUUAGUUGCCCCAGGGCAUGUGGCAUCU
rnacentral:lncRNA from 1 species